GACGAACGCUGGCGGCGUGCCUAAUACAUGCAAGUUGAGCGCUGAAGGUUGGUACUUGUACCAACUGGAUGAGCAGCGAACGGGUGAGUAACGCGUGGGGAAUCUGCCUUUGAGCGGGGGACAACAUUUGGAAACGAAUGCUAAUACCGCAUAAAAACUUUAAACACAAGUUUUAAGUUUGAAAGAUGCAAUUGCAUCACUCAAAGAUGAUCCCGCGUUGUAUUAGCUAGUUGGUGAGGUAAAGGCUCACCAAGGCGAUGAUACAUAGCCGACCUGAGAGGGAGAUCCGCCAACAUGGGAACGAGACACGGCCCAAGCCUCUUAGGGAAGGAGCAAGAGGGGAACUUCGGAAAUGGACGAAAGUCUGACCGAACAACGCCGCGUGGGAGAAGAAGGUUUUCGGAUCGGAAAACUCUGUUGGUAGGGAAGAAAGUUGGUGAGAGUGGAAAGCUCAUCAAGUGACGGUAACUACACAGAAAGGGACGGCUAACUACGUG
rnacentral:rRNA from 1 species